CGGUCACAUUGUGUUGAAACACCAGUUCCAGUACGAUCACCGAAGUUAAGCAACUUCGAGUCUGAUUGGUACUUAGAUGGAUGAAAGCUUAAGAAUACCAGGUGUCGUAAU